rnacentral:rRNA from 1 species
ACGAACGCUGGCGGCGUGCUUAACCCAUGCAAGUCGAACGGAAAGGCCCUGCUUUUGUGGGGUGCUCGAGUGGCGAACGGGUGAGUAACACGUGAGUAACCUGCCCUUGACUUUGGGAUAACUUCAGGAAACUGGGGCUAAUACCGGAUAGGAGCUCCUGCUGCAUGGUGGGGGUUGGAAAGUUUCGGCGGUUGGGGAUGGACUCGCGGCUUAUCAGCUUGUUGGUGGGGUAGUGGCUUACCAAGGCUUUGACGGGUAGCCGGCCUGAGAGGGUGACCGGCCACAUUGGGACUGAGAUACGGCCCAGACUCCUACGGGAGGCAGCAGUGGGGAAUAUUGCACAAUGGGCGGAAGCCUGAUGCAGCAACGCCGCGUGCGGGAUGACGGCCUUCGGGUUGUAAACCGCUUUCGCCUGUGACGAAGCGUGAGUGACGGUAAUGGGUAAAGAAGCACCGGCUAACUACGAG